rnacentral:rRNA from 1 species
CCUACGGGAGGCAGCAGUCGAGAAUCAUUCACAAUGGGGGAAACCCUGAUGGUGCGACGCCGCGUGGGGGAAUGAAGGUCUUCGGAUUGUAAACCCCUGGCAUGUGGGAGCAAAUUAAAAAGAUAGUACCACAAGAGGAAGAGACGGCUAACUCUGUGCCAGCAGCCGCGGUAAUACAGAGGUCUCAAGCGUUGUUCGGAAUCACUGGGCGUAAGGCGUGCGUAGGCUGUUUCGUAAGUCGUGUGUGAAAGGCGCGGGCUCAACCCGCGGACGGCACAUGAUACUGCGAGACUAGAGUAAUGGAGGGGGAACCGGAAUUCUCGGUGUAGCAGUGAAAUGCGUAGAUAUCGAGAGGAACACUCGUGGCGAAGGCGGGUUCCUGGACAUUAACUGACGCUGAGGCACGAAGGCCAGGGGAGCGAAAGGGAUUAGAUACCCGGGUAGUC